AAAUAAUUGAGUUAUAGUGUAUCUUGUCCUCUUCGCUUUCUCUGCCGUCCCUCUCUCUAGCUGAACAUCUCGUUUCCGACGCUUCCCCAUCUCCGUCGUUCCCUCGCCUCCGGCGCACCGCCGUAGCCGCCCAGCCGACUAGCACCAACCUUUUUCUGCCGUGAAAAGUUCGCCAGCAACGGGCUCCAACCACUCUCAACAACGACAGCAUAUUUUUUGAUUUGGAUCUGUGAAGCAAGACCAAAAUUGGGAGAAAUGGUUGGACAAAGAAUUCUAGGAAAUCAUAUUCCACUAUGGACUAUGGAUUGGUUGAAAUAUAGAUGUUAACCAUCAAAAUAUAUCAGUUGCAAGAAUAUCCAAAGUAAUAGAAGAAGAUGAUGAUGUAUUUAUCCACAUAUAAAAAUUGCUUAAGAUUUUUUUAAAACGCAAAUAUAUUUGGUUAUUUUAACUUAUUUUACUUUCCUUUCUUUGGUUUUUCAAUUCUUUGUGCGACCUACUCUAGCUCCAAGUGCGAAAGAGAAGGCACAAUUGUUCUAUGAAAUACUUCAUAGCUAUGUAGACCAAUGCAUAUGACAUUAUAGAUCAGAUUUCAUCUUUUUUAGUUGACAGUGUCAUCAUGCGUAAUAAUCAUCGUAAUGUUGCGGGAGAAGAGACCCAAAUCCAUCUAGAGUGCUCUUCGCCAAAUUGCCAACUUCCAUCUCCUCAUCUACCAUCCUCAGAGGGUCCUUCAACCCAGAUCUUUGUAGAUUCUUUUUCGCCACCUCCUUAGUGUACUCUAGCUCGACAUGUGUCAUCCUCACAACUUACCCAAACUGACCAUGUUUAUAGUGAAUUAUUGGAAUCACUAAAAUGUUCCAUGGCUGACCAUUAAAAAUUGCACAUAUUGAGAUAUGAGGAGAUGGAACGUUUGAAUAAAGAGAGGCAUGACACAAUCAUGACAGCCAACGCUGAGUGCGAGUUUCUUAAUAGAGAGAGAAAUGUGACAUUAAUGGAAAAGUUGGAUGUUUUGAUUAACAUCCUUCAACUUGUGCAUGCACAUUUUUUUGGGUGUAGAGAGACCCCACUUACACGAGAGAGUACUACAAUGGAUGACCAACAAAGAGAGAAGAAUAUAGAUGAAGACUCACAUGUAACUUUUCAAGUACUUUAGCUUUUGAUUAUCCUUUAUUUCUUAAUUACAAGUUGUUGACGCCGUUUCUCGUCAACAGUGAAAGAAGAGCACGUAAACAACAAACAGUAAUGACCAAUUAAAAAAUAACAACACAAAAACACGAUUUUUACGUGGUUCAGCAGUUUAAAUCUGCCUAGUCCACGAGUCUCUGUUAUUAAACUCAAGAUUAUCUCUGAAAAUCCUUAAGCAUGAAUUCUUCAGAGUUUUCUCUCAAGGUUCAGAAUUUCGGUCUAUUACAAUGGUGCACGACUUCUCUAUUUAUAGAGAAGGAUGCAGAAUACUAUCCCACAUAUUUUGGGUAGUUACUCUUUUUGUGUAAAUAAAUUAAAUGGCUCUAAAUGCCUGCAAUUCGAUAUAAAAGGAAACGUCUCCUGAAGAAUAGGGGGCGUAUAACUAAUUGAAUAAUAUCCCAUGAUUUUAUGGGAUUUACAAUAAUAAAUGCAGAGCACGCCUCUUAUAAACAACACUUAUAGAUAUUCAAAGUCAUUAUCAUAUAUCUCCAAGGCCUUAAUCUCCCAGAUUUCUCAUCAGCUUUCGAGCUAAUGACAUCUCCCGAGGUCACAUGGCUUCAAGAUUGUACAUACGUCAGACUCGGAGUCCCUGAUUCGAGGUCAUUCCUGAGGAUAGAGGCGUCUCGGGAGCUACCAUUCGAGAUCGUGAACGUUUCGAGGCCACCACAUUCGAGGUCGUCUCGAGUCUUGCAGGCUCGGUAUUUAAUCUUGGAGCAUACUUCGAACUUUACGGGUUCAUUCGCUGCGAAUCCAGCUUUCGAGGUCACAUUUAACAUGGCUCGAAAUCUGGGUAUAACAUCUUGCCCCCUUAAAAGUAUUUGUUCGAAUCCUAAGAGAAGGAAACUUUUGAACUACUUUCUUCGGGAACCGUAUCGUCAUACUCCUGAAAAUGGACUCGCGUCAGUUGGGCAUUGCUCACUUAUGAUACUUGAGUACCUUGGAAACAUGCCCACGAUCAUUCGUCUUCCACCUUUUCGGUACCAUCUUAUCAGUAAUCCCCAUCCGUUGGAUCUUGCAAGGAUUUCAUUCAACGCCCCAGAUUAAUCCCCUUUUUCCAUCUAUAUAUAUAAGACCCCAUUCAUCAUCUUCUUUUUUAUUUUCGUUCAUCAGG